AUUUGAAUCACCUAGGGAUUUUGUUAUAGGCAGAUUAUGAUUUAGCAGCGCUGGGGUGGGGCCUGAGAUUCUGCAUUUCUGACAAGCUCCCAGGUGAUUCAGAU
rnacentral:pre_miRNA from 2 species